rnacentral:rRNA from 1 species
GGGUUGUGAGGUUAAGCGACUAAGCGUACACGGUGGAUGCCUAGGCAAUCAGAGGCGAUGAAGGACGUGCUAAUCUGCGAUAAGCGUCGGUAAGGUGAUAUGAACCGUUACAACCGACGAUUUCCGAAUGGGGAAACCCAGUGCAAUUCGUUGCACUAUCGUUUGAUGAAUACAUAGUCAAACGAAGCGAACCGGGGGAACUGAAACAUCUCAGUACCCCGAGGAAAAGAAAUCAACCGAGAUUCCCCUAGUAGCGGCGAGCGAACGGGGAGCAGCCCAGAGUCUUAAUCAGCAUUAGCAUCAGGAGAACGGUCUGGAAAGUCCGGCAGUAAAGGGUGAUAGCCCCGUAUCCGAAGGUGUUAGUGUUGUGAACUCGACGAGUAGGGCGGGACACGUGUUAUCCUGUCUGAAUAUGGGGGGACCAUCCUCCAAGGCUAAAUACUCCUGAUUGACCGAUAGUGAACCAGUACCGUGAGGGAAAGGCGAAAAGAACCCCGGCGAGGGGAGUGAAAUAGAACCUGAAACCGUGUACGUACAAGCAGUGGGAGCCUUGAUUUAUCAGGGUGACUGCGUACCUUUUGUAUAAUGGGUCAGCGACUUAUAUUCUGUAGCAAGGUUAACCGAAUAGGGGAGCCGUAGGGAAACCGAGUCUUAACUGGGCGAAUAAGUUGCAGGGUAUAGACCCGAAACCCGGUGAUCUAGCCAUGGGCAGGUUGAAGGUUGGGUAACACUAACUGGAGGACCGAACCGACUAAUGUUGAAAAAUUAGCGGAUGACUUGUGGCUGGGGGUGAAAGGCCAAUCAAACUGGGAGAUAGCUGGUUCUCCCCGAAAGCUAUUUAGGUAGCGCCUCGUGAACUCAUCUUCGGGGGUAGAGCACUGUUUCGACUAGGGGGUCAUCCCGACUUACCAACUCGAUGCAAACUACGAAUACCGAAGAAUGUUAUCACGGGAGACACACGGCGGGUGCUAACGUUCGUCGUGAAGAGGGAAACAACCCAGACCGCCAGCUAAGGUCCCAAAGUCAUAGUUAAGUGGGAAACGAAGUGGGAAGGCUCAGACAGCCAGGAUGUUGGCUUAGAAGCAGCCAUCAUUUAAAGAAAGCGUAAUAGCUCACUGGUCGAGUCGGCCUGCGCGGAAGAUGUAACGGGGCUAAACUAUGCACCGAAGCUGCGGCAGCGAUAUGUAAAUAUUGUUGGGUAGGGGAGCGUUCUGUAAGCCUGUGAAGGUGUGCUGUGAGGCAUGCUGGAGGUAUCAGAAGUGCGAAUGCUGACAUAAGUAACGAUAAUGCGGGUGAAAAACCCGCACGCCGGAAGACCAAGGGUUCCUGUCCAACGUUAAUCGGGGCAGGGUGAGUCGACCCCUAAGGCGAGGCAGAAAUGCGUAGUCGAUGGGAAACGGGUUAAUAUUCCCGUACUGGUGAUAAUUGCGAUGGGGGGACGGAGAAGGCUAGGCUAUCCGGGCGACGGUUGUCCCGGUUUAAGGAUGUAGGCAGGUGAAUUAGGCAAAUCCGGUUCACUAUAUGCUGAGGUCCGAUGACGAGUCACUACGGUGAUGAAGUAGCUCAUGCCCCGCUUCCAGGAAAAGCCUCUAAGCUCUAGAUUAUCAUUAAUCGUACCCCAAACCGACACAGGUGGUCAGGUAGAGAAUACUCAGGCGCUUGAGAGAACUCGGGUGAAGGAACUAGGCAAAAUGGUGCCGUAACUUCGGGAGAAGGCACGCUGGCAUUAGGUGAAGUGAUUUACUCAUGGAGCUGAAGCCAGUCGCAGAUACCAGCUGGCUGCAACUGUUUAUUAAAAACACAGCACUGUGCAAACACGAAAGUGGACGUAUACGGUGUGACGCCUGCCCGGUGCUGGAAGGUUAAUUGAUGGGGUUAUCCGUAAGGAGAAGCUCUUGAUCGAAGCCCCAGUAAACGGCGGCCGUAACUAUAACGGUCCUAAGGUAGCGAAAUUCCUUGUCGGGUAAGUUCCGACCUGCACGAAUGGCGUAAUGAUGGCCAGGCUGUCUCCACCCGAGACUCAGUGAAAUUGAACUCGCUGUGAAGAUGCAGUGUACCCGCGGCAAGACGGAAAGACCCCGUGAACCUUUACUAUAGCUUGACACUGAACAUUGAGCCUUGAUGUGUAGGAUAGGUGGGAGGCUUUGAAGCGUGGACGCCAGUCUGCGUGGAGCCAACCUUGAAAUACCACCCUUUAAUGUUUGAUGUUCUAACGUUGCCCCGUUAUCCGGGGUGCGGACAGUGUCUGGUGGGUAGUUUGACUGGGGCGGUCUCCUCCCAAAGAGUAACGGAGGAGCACGAAGGUUGGCUAAGCAUGGUCGGACAUCAUGCGGUUAGUGCAAAGGCAUAAGCCAGCUUGACUGCGAGAGUGACGGCUCGAGCAGGUACGAAAGUAGGUCUUAGUGAUCCGGUGGUUCUGAAUGGAAGGGCCAUCGCUCAACGGAUAAAAGGUACUCCGGGGAUAACAGGCUGAUACCGCCCAAGAGUUCAUAUCGACGGCGGUGUUUGGCACCUCGAUGUCGGCUCAUCACAUCCUGGGGCUGAAGUAGGUCCCAAGGGUACGGCUGUUCGCCGUUUAAAGUGGUACGCGAGCUGGGUUUAGAACGUCGUGAGACAGUUCGGUCCCUAUCUGCCGUGGGCGUUGGAAGAUUGAAAGGGGCUGCUCCUAGUACGAGAGGACCGGAGUGGACGCACCACUGGUGUUCGGGUUGUCAUGCCAAUGGCAUUGCCCGGUAGCUAAGUGCGGAAGAGAUAACCGCUGAAAGCAUCUAAGCGGGAAACUUGCCUUGAGAUGAGUCUUCCCUGACUCUUUAAGAGUCCUAAAGGAACGUUUAAGACUAAGACGUUGAUAGGUUGGGUGUGUAAGCGUAGCGAUACGUUGAGCUAACCAAUACUAAUGAACCGUGAGGCUUAACCUGACAACACCGAAGGUGUUUUAG